AGCGGGAAGAUAAGGUAUCCACCUUGUCUCAUACGCAAGGAGUCUGGGUUCGAUUCCCGGUCCCGCAUCCA
rnacentral:tRNA from 1 species